GUAAUACAUCGGAACGUGCCCAAUCGUGGGGGAUAACGCAGCGAAAGCUGUGCUAAUACCGCAUACGAUCUACGGAUGAAAGCAGGGGAUCGCAAGACCUUGCGCGAAUGGAGCGGCCGAUGGCAGAUUAGGUAGUUGGUGAGGUAAAGGCUCACCAAGCCUUCGAUCUGUAGCUGGUCUGAGAGGACGACCAGCCACACUGGGACUGAGACACGGCCCAGACUCCUACGGGAGGCAGCAGUGGGGAAUUUUGGACAAUGGGCGAAAGCCUGAUCCAGCCAUGCCGCGUGCAGGAUGAAGGCCUUCGGGUUGUAAACUGCUUUUGUACGGAACGAAACGGCCUUUUCUAGUAAAGAGGGCUAAUGACGGUACCGUAAGAAUAAGCACCGGCUAACUACGUGCCAGCAGCCGCGGUAAUACGUAGGGUGCAAGCGUUAAUCGGAAUUACUGGGCGUAAAGCGUGCGCAGGCGGUUAUGUAAGACAGUUGUGAAAUCCCCGGGCUCAACCCGGGAACUGCAUCUGUGACUGCAUAGCUAGAGUACGGUAGAGGGGGAUGGAAUUCCGCGUGUAGCAGUGAAAUGCGUAGAUAUGCGGAGGAACACCGAUGGCGAAGGCAAUCCCCUGGACCUGUACUGACGC
rnacentral:rRNA from 1 species